GACGAACGCUGGCGGCGUGCUUAACACAUGCAAGUCGAACGGAAAGGCCCUGCUUUUGUGGGGUGCUCGAGUGGCGAACGGGUGAGUAACACGUGAGUAACCUGCCCUUGACUUUGGGAUAACUUCAGGAAACUGGGGCUAAUACCGGAUAGGAGCUCCUGCUGCAUGGUGGGGGUUGGAAAGUUUCGGCGGUUGGGGAUCGAAUCGCGGCUUAUCAGCUUGUUGGUGGGGUAGUGGCUUACCAAGGCUUUGACGGGUAGCCGGCCUGAGAGGGUGACCGGCCACAUUAGGUCUGAGAUGCGGCCCAGACUCCUACGGGAGGCAGCAGUGGGGAAUGUUGCACAAUGGGCGGAAGCCUGAUGCAGCAACGCCGCGUGCGGGAUGAAGGCCUUCGGGUUGUAAACCGCUUUCGCCUGUGACGAGGCGUGAGUGACGGUAAUGGGUAAAGAAGCACCGGCUAACUACGUG
rnacentral:rRNA from 1 species